AUUCUAGUGCAAGGGCAUUACGCGUGACAGUGAAGAUUCGUCUGAGUCCGUGUUAUUGCUAGUUGAAAACUAUACUUUUGACCGCUUCUGCCGGAACCCCUCUGGGGAUUCGACAGGGAAUUUUUGGCAUCCAUUUCGUCUCGUCAACGG
rnacentral:snRNA from 1 species